rnacentral:rRNA from 1 species
AACGAACGCUGGCGGCAGGCUUAACACAUGCAAGUCGAACGCAUCCUUCGGGGUGAGUGGCAGACGGGUGAGUAACGAGUGGGAACGUGCCCUUCAGUUCGGGAUAACCCAGGGAAACUUGGGCUAAUACCGGAUACGUGCGAGAGCAGAAAGAUUUAUCGCUGAAGGAUCGGCCCGAGUCUGAUUAGCUAGUUGGUGGGGUAAUGGCCCACCAAGGCGACAAUCAGUAGCUGGUCUGAGAAGAUGAUCAGCCACAUUGGGACUGAGACACGGCCCAAACUCCUACGGGAGGCAGCAGUGGGGAAUAUUGGACAAUGGGCGCAAGCCUGAUCCAGCCAUGCCGCGUGAGUGAUGAAGGCCUUAGGGUUGUAAAGCUCUUUCGUCCGGGACGAUAAUGACGGUACCGGAAGAAGAAGCCCCGGCUAACUUCGUGCCAGCAGCCGCAGUAA